UAUGUGUAAUACUGUACUAAGUUCUUUUUAUAUAUUGUUUUAAUAUUUAAUAGCCAUAAUUCUGUCAACAGGGGUAGAAAAGUAAGAGAUUAGAGGGAGGCCUGAUUCAGAUUCAGAUUAAAUAGACAUUCUUCACAUAAUCAUUAAUUCAUUGUACUCUGUAGUUUGGUAUACUAUACAAGUUGAGAAUCAUGUAAUAGUUGAAAUGUGUGUGCGUGUUAUAAAGGAGACUUAUAAGUGGAAGUUUUGGAGAAUAGUAGGUAAAGAGUGGCAGAAUUUAGAACAUGCUUACAUGCUUGCAUAUAAAAAGAGACCAGUUCCAGGCCAAUAUCAUGCCAUCAAGUAGACAUUUGUGCAGGUACACACACCAGAGCAAAACAAUCUUUGUUUUUCAGUAAUUUAAACAGAAGUAUAAAACAGUUUUAACCUGAUUUAUUAAAGUAAUUUGAACUAUAUCCAUCUGACCAAGAGAAGUAAUGAAAUCUUUUUUUUUCUCAUUGCUGCUUCUUGCUUUUUUAAAAAUUAAUUCUUUGAGGCCCUUAGUAAUAUUCCAAAUAUUUUUAUCAGUUCUGAAUUUACCCAAUAGGCUCACUCACUGUAUUUACUUUUAUUCAUCAUAAACAUGCACUAAUCCAUGCUGGUAAUUUCAACAUUCUAAAAACAUCAGAAAACCACAGUAUCCUUACCCUGAGAAUUAACUGGCAUGACCGUUAUCAGGCCUGCUUAAGCAACCAGAUGAUUCUAUCCGUUUUUUAGCAAUAUAUUCUAUGAUAGCAUGAAGAAUUCCUUCUGUCACAAAUACCUGGACCAGGAGACACUCUACUGCAUCCCCAAAUUAGGAGUAGCUGUACUUUUGGCUUCUGAGAUGUAGACAGCUGGGGCAGGGGGGGCGGGGAACAGACACCAAGUUGCCGCUGCUUUCUUCAGCCUCAGACCUAAACAGGCCUGUCUCUGUGCUCAUCUUGAUAAACCCUGAUAGCUCCCUGCAACAGGAGCCCCCCAUCUGGGACUAAUGAAGCACAGAUGGUUUCUGAAAACCUCCUGUACUACAAAAUAUUAUGCUGUGGCUCUCAAUAUACUCAUCUUCGUAUAUUCUCUCUUCUCCCCUCCCUUCUAUAUCCGUGCCCUUGUUUAGUUCCGUUUCCAUUAGAAAUACCAUUUGGGUAGCAAAUUUCACAAAUUGGAUCCAUCUCGAUGCUGCCAUGCAAAGAAAACACAUCUGUCUGACUCUUCAUUUAAAAUAAGAAAAAAAUUGAAAUAGCAAAAUGCUGUAGUCGCUCUGAGCUAUUUCCUAAUGAGCCAGUUUGUCCCAUGAGCUGUAGUGAGGAUCUUCUCCUCGGUGAGAACUCUUUAUGCAUAUUAAUAUUAUGCAUGUUUUCCAUGUGACUCCACUGACUUGCCCUUACCCCAUCCUUUGAAUUCAUUUAAAUAAAAAUAAUUUAUGUGGACAUUCCUUCAGUCAGGAUUUUCUCUUCCCGUUUCUUAAAGACAUCCAUAAUAUUUCGUUGAUGCUUUCUGUCCAAACUGAGUCGUUAUGCUUUUGCAUAUCAUUAGGGCUUUAUAAAGAACAACAGCGACAUCUGCAUGUGCCACAGCGCCUAGGAGAUAGGAAAAUACCGAAAACAAACUCCGUGUUGGCUUGGAGGCUGUCUGGCUCUCUGUCUCCCGAGCAGCCCCUGCCACCACCAUGGAUAGGAGUAAUUGUACAGUGUAAUCACAUCAUGCCUCAUCUGAAUAUUCAUAGCCAAGACAAAGCUUUGGAGGAUAAGGGAGGAGCAGGGAUAAUUUAAAUAUAAAACAGCACCUCAUUUCCAAAUCAAGUUGUGCUAGUUAGACUGUGCAUCAGGAUUCAAUAUUACAUCAACAUUGUUUUACAGUUUGGAAAUUGGGAGUGAACAAGAAGACAGAGGAGAGAAGAGACUUGAUAAAGAAGGGUGACAAUGUAUUCUCAUUCUUGAAUGAGGAAAAACAAGACAACAAGAACAGCGACAGAAUAAAAAUACUUAAAAUGAUAUUUGAAGAGUCACCAACAGUGUGUAGCCAGCUGCUGUUUUGCACCAGGAAUGAAAUAGCCUAUUGAGGGAGCUUUAAAAGCUCUCAAUUAAUAUGUUGUGCAUGUAUUAGAUCUACAAAGAACUCACUAUAUUCCUUCUCUACCCACAAAUCCCCCCAAUACACACAUGUUCCCUAACCACCACCUUUCUUUCCUGUCCGAUACAGAAGAAAAAGAUCAGAGAGCUACCAAAUAAUUGAUUAAUUGCCUCAAAAGUGACAACAUCACUUUUCAAAAGGAAACAACAAAAACAAACACAUAUAGAAAGGUGACUGUUCAUUAAUGAAGGGAUAAAUUACCGAUGGCUUCUUCAUUCUCUUUAGUUCACUACCCCCCAAAAGAAACAAAUGUAAUCCACAUGUUAAUAUUUCUUGUCUUCGCUUUCUUUUAAUAUGAUGCUCUUUAUUAUUUUUGUGUGUGUGUUGGUAUUUGUAGAAGCCUCUGCAACUGCAUUCCCCAAAGAGCUACUAGUUUCAACCCACUGGAGUUUAUAUUCCUUUAAUUGUCUAGUGCAGGAACAUGUCUGCUGUUUUAAAAAUAUACCGCUCUGCAGGAAUUAGAAGAAUCCAAGGUUGUAUCCAACUUCAAAGGUUUCCAAGUCAUAAGGAUUUUAGAAAAAGUAGAAGACAGAUCAUGGAACAAGUCCCUGUUUGAAGAUAAGCAUCAUAGGGACCUUUUUUUCUUCCCUCUCUCCCCAACUUUGUACUUCUCCUGGCUCUGAAUGCCCCUCGCUAACACGGUUUAAUGAUAUGCAAAUGAAAUAUGCAUAAAACCAUUCUACUGUAUGAUUAUUAAACACUGGAGACAUUAACAGCAGAGGCUUCACUCUUUGUAAUAAUCCUUCCCGACCAUCCACUUUGAUUUCGGAGUUAUGGAAACCCAUAGCAGUUGGCAGAGAGUAAAAGAGAGAGAGAAGGAAGGAAAGAUGCAGGGACACAUCACCCAUCUCCGUGCUUUUCCCACUCCAGGAGAGGUUCCCCCCCUUUGUACUGUGUUCCUGUCUUUUGUAAUCCAUCCAUGCAGUCGCAUCAGAGCGAUUAACGGAAAAAACCUCUUUUCUCUUAAUGUUUCAAAGCUCAUUAGCCAAACGAUUAUUCCUCAUUAACAGCGAAAGCUCAUUCAUUAAAAGGAAGAAUAUGCCAAAAAGAUGCCAGCGCGGUUAAUCCUGAGUCCCGUACUGGGCUGUAAAUCCCAUACUACUUGUAUAUUCCAUGCGAAAGGGACACGCGCCAAUCCACAUUUUAGGAAAAAAAAAAGAGAAAGAAAACAGUUUGUGUGUUUUGUAAAAUCCACAAGAGCAGCAAUUAAUAUUCCCAUUGAAUGACUUUAUUUCUUUUUUGUCUCUCCCUUUUGUUUCCAGCGCCUGCCCCUGGCUCAGCGCCCGGUGCCAACAGAACACCUUUCAAGAUCCACAGCAACGCAGACAACGUAAGUACCAGCCGUUUCCUGAAACCCUUUCUCAGGUUUUUUUAAACAACCAACUAAAACAUAGAGAGAGAGACCAGCCUCUUUUCCCUUCUUCUCCCUUGCGUUUUGCCACCAGCAUUUCCUAAGUAGCACCUUCCAAAUCCCUCUGCCUUCAAGUUUGUGCAUGUCCGUGUGGCAUCCCUCCUCCUCCUUCACUCCCAUAGUGGAUCUUGUAAAAGGGCUUCAGAUCGGCCCCAUUCAUCUCCCUGGUGAUAGCAGUGAAUGUAGAUAAAUCUCUGACUGCCUGCUUGCUGCUGGAGUAUGAUUUUUAUUUUGUCUUCUGUGUAUACCUGGGUCAAAAAGUGGGAGGUAUGCACACACAUACAUGCACAUACACACAUUUCCUUGCCUCUCCUAUCUUCCUUUCCUUUUUGUCACACAUGCAUACAUCUCACAUAUGUGUGUAUAUGAUUAAACAUAUACACCUACAUACAUACCCAUACCUAUAACAAAAAUACAUACAUAUCUAAGCAUUUAAUUUGUCUGAAAAUAAUGUGUAUUUACAUACACAUACAGCCUUACACAUGUGUCUAUAUGCAAUCAACAUAAGUGCCUAUCUUUUAAUUUAUACCCAUCUAUAUCUCCAUUUAAAUAUUCCCUCUCUUCUCCCAGUAGAAGCUGUGUGCAGUUGCAAUCCAGGAUUGUACAAGCAGUAUUCUUUCCUUAUGAUUUCUAUUUGUAGACCUUUAUGCUCCUUCUCUUCCUUCUUCCGAGCUGUAGAAUUGGCAUCUUUCCCCGAGGUUUUCCGAAUGGCAAGUGGCACUGGCUGUGGCAUGCAUUCAAGCCGCUUCCUAUGGCAUUUCUCUUCCGAUGUCUGCUUUUUCUCUUUGUUUGUUGUUGACUAGGCUGAGUGGUGUUUUUUAAGUUAAUUAUAAACAAAGUUGAAUAGCAAACAAGCCAACAGCUUGCCAAAAAAAAAAAAAAAAGAAAUAGCCCCACACAAGCGCCUUCUGCUGCAACAGAUGCCCAGAUCACCCCUGGCAUUGGCAAACGGGCACACGAUUUUGGUGGUUGUUAAUUUUUUUCUGUUCGUUGCUGUAUUUGUUGUUUGUUUUCCUUGUUUCUUUUUGAUUUUUGAAGGAGUCCAGGAUGCCGGCCUCUGCUUGGAACGGAACAGUGUCAUGGCGGAGACGACGGCCUUUGUCUUGCUGGGUGUGAAAGCAUCCACUGUGCUGGCUCCACUGCGGCAGAAUCAAGUUUAAAGGAAAAAAUCAUAAAAAGUCCUGUGAAACAGAGGUAUAGGGUACCAUGAAAAUGCACAGCAAGAGGACCUGGUCUUUGAAGGCAUGCCAGAAAAGGCUUUCUGAAGAAAGUGAAUUCUGAAAGUUGAAGAUAAGUGAGACAGUAAAUCCUGAGGCAAGAGCAGAUCAUGGCUGCUUGGAAGAACUAAAAUAAAAUCAGUGCAACUAAAUGAGUAUAGACAGUGGGACAUUGGAUCAUACUGACAACAGACUGGGAGAACAAAUGAUCGCCUGCAGAAGUUUUUCCCUAACCUUUGAUGAUCUCCCAGUCUCAUCACAGUAAUGAAGAUGUUCUUUUGGCGAUGUUAUACCUAUGGCACACCAGAAAGGUUGGAAGGUAAGGAAAGUCAAACUUGAGGAUAGCACACAUAAUAGAGCAGUUGACAUGGAAUAUGUUUUCUGGAAGUAAAGUUGUAAUUAAUAAAAAUGUGGUUUCAAUGAUGAAGUACCUUAAGUGAUAGAUAGACUUACUGAUUAGGCUUUUUAAAAUGAGUAAUAGGCAGCCACUAUGGAUAUUGAGCUGAAGAAUAAUAGCAUUGUACAAAUAUUCUCAAAGUUUGAUUGGUAUAGAAAAAGUCAAAUGAUGGGGAGAAUUCCUAAUAAGCCAUUGCAAUAAUCCACACAUGGAUUAGUUAAGGCUAGAGAGCUGGGAAGUGGAGAAACUGGGAACUGGGUAUGGGGGGUGUGGUGGGACUAUGAUAUUGAUGGGAAAGUGAAUCUCAAACGACUAGCACAC